CGCAAAUUGUAAGGUAACCCAGGUGCUUCGGAUAAGUAAUUGAGCAAAUCUUUUAAGGCCUUUGAAACAAGACAAAAGUAGAACUGAAGGUUAUACAGUGCUAUGGAUCAGAAAACAGUUCAUAUAAUAUAAUACUCUUCUGUUGAAAUAUAUGAUAAAGUGUAUAAUACAUGUCAAAAUCCGUAUCACAUGCCGUAUCACCCUCGACCAAUAUCAUCCCUCGGGCCUAAAGGCCCUUGGGCUGAUAUUGAUGUCUCGGGAUGAUACGACAUAUGAUACGGAUUUUGCCAUGUAUUAUUCUCUAUGUAUUGAAUGAGGAUGUCGAGACUGCCAACAAAAAUUAUUUAUAGGGUUGAAUAAAUCUAGGCUGCUGUUUUGGUGCUCUAUUGCAAUGCAUCUUCAAUAAUAUGGCUUGAUUAUAUUAUACUAGCAUGUUUUUCUUUUUUGCUUCAAAUUUUUAUUUAUUAUUGAAAAAAGUAUCUUGUAUAUGAUCAUGUUAUUUCUAUAAUUGUUUUUAAGAUAAAUUAUGGAAUUCAUUGUAAUUGAUUGCAUUUAAAAUAUUAGUUGUCAUAAUGUUAUAUUUCAUGUGCUCUACUGAUUGCAAAUACAUUAAUUUUUGGUGAAUUUUAUCAAAUAAAAAUUAUAUGCCACUUCUUUGAAGCUGAUACUUCUUAAUUGUAUGUAUGUCCUGAAUUUGAAUUUUGUAGGUAUUUAAAUAUUUCAGGAGCUCCUUAGAUAGUAUAUUCUUGACUAAAUCUACACCUCACAAUUUUUUUUAAAAGAUGAUAGAAAAAGGGAAAAUAUUUAUUUCUUGACAAUAACCUCAAAAGAUGAGUCAAGAUUUGUAUGAAAUGUAACAAUUUUCUUUGCACACCUUACCCAGAAAAAAAUGGCCUAUGUAUAUUGUGCACAAUAUUUUCUUUCUUUUUGUUGUGAAUGAGAACAGGAUAGAAAAUACCAAUGGAUUGUAUUGUUUAUAUGUAUGAUGUAAUGCCAAGAGGCAAUAUGUAAUGUUAAAUUUCUGUUGGGUUUAACCUGUACUUGAGGCAAGAUAAAAUAUAUUCGUAGGCUAUUAUUCUUUGUGUUAUAUUUUUUUUC
rnacentral:lncRNA from 1 species